AGUUUAAAUUUUCUUGCAAAAAUAAAACAGACCAGUGAGAUUGAAUCAAGGUUGAAGUGUUUUCUCUAUGCACAGGAACAGAAGCAGAGAGAGAGAGAGAGAGAGAGUUGAAGAAGAAAGGGAUUGAUUUGAAGCUGAAGAGUGAAAAUCUAUGGUGUUGGUUGGGUUUGUGAGGAACGAUUAUUGAAUAAAGCCACUUGAAUCGGCGUCGUUUUGAUUUCUCACUGACACUCUCUGACUUGGUCAGAUUCAAGUAAACGCUUCUUCUUCUCAAACCCUAGAUAUUGGAGAUUGAUGUGACAUCACCUACCUAUCUCUGCUGGCAGUGCUGAAUAGAUACCUCUGGUUUUAUCUCAUGCUAUUUAAGUUGUGGAAUAUGUAAUAGUACCUGUUUAAUUUGUUGCACUGUUCUGACUGAUAAGUAGAUGCGUGUACUCAAAAUUCUAAUUUGGCAAUAUUAAUUAGCAUUGAAUGAGAGCAUUUGUAAGUUACAUUAUCAUUGGAGUUGAAAGGAAAAUUUUGGUUGGGAAAAAUUAAAAAAAAGGAGCAUCUUCAUAAAGUUGUUGGAUGCACUUUCUAGUUUGGUUUGAGGAUAGGGGAUAUGCUACCAAUCUCGAAGUAUUAUAACAUUGGCUUCACCUCUUCAGUAUGCGAUCUAUUUUUGUUCAGUGUUUGCAUUUAAUAAUAAACAUAUGGAUGGUAUGAUAUAAGAAAAAAGAUGGAGUAUGUUUUGGAAAAAAGAUUUCCUCUUAGGGCAGAAGAUUACAAUCUAUAUGAAGAAGUUGGUGAAGGCGUCAGCGCAUCGGUAUACAGGGCUCUCUGCAUUCCCCUCAAUGAGAUAGUUGCCAUCAAGGUUCUCGAUCUAGAGAAGUGCAAUAAUGAUUUGGAUGGCAUUCGAAGAGAGGUACAGACCAUGAGCUUGAUUGAUCAUCCAAAUGUUUUAAGGGCACAUUGCUCUUUUACUACUGGACACAAUCUAUGGGUUGUGAUGCCAUACAUGGCUGGGGGGUCUUGCCUUCAUAUAAUGAAAUCUGCUUAUCCUGAGGGUUUUGAAGAGCCUGUUAUUGCUACUUUGUUGCGUGAGGUUCUCAAAGCUCUUGUCUAUCUUCAUGCCCAUGGUCACAUACAUAGAGAUGUUAAGGCUGGGAAUAUUUUGCUAGAUUCUAAUGGUGCUGUCAAACUAGCUGACUUUGGAGUGUCAGCAUGUAUGUUUGAUACUGGAGAUAGGCAACGCUCAAGAAACACUUUUGUUGGAACACCUUGCUGGAUGGCUCCUGAAGUUAUGCAGCAAUUACAUGGAUAUGAUUUUAAAGCAGAUAUAUGGUCAUUUGGUAUAACAGCACUUGAACUUGCUCAUGGGCAUGCCCCAUUUUCCAAGUACCCACCAAUGAAAGUUUUGCUUAUGACUUUACAAAAUGCCCCUCCAGGUCUUGAUUAUGAAAGAGACAGGAGAUUUUCAAAGUCUUUCAAAGAGUUGGUUGCUACCUGCUUAGUGAAAGACCCAAAGAAACGUCCAAGUUCAGAAAAGCUUUUAAAGCAUUACUUCUUUAAACAUGCACGUGCCAGCGAAUAUUUAGCUCGCACCAUUCUAGAUGGCCUUGCACCAUUAGGAGAUCGUUUUAGAGUUCUCAAGGCUAAAGAGGCAGAUUUAUUAAUGCAAAACAAGGCUCUUUAUGAGGAUAAGGAGCAAUUAUCUCAGAAAGAAUAUAUUCGAGGAAUUAGUGCCUGGAAUUUUAACCUGGAUGAUUUAAAAAGUCAAGCUGCUCUUAUUCAAGACGAUGACAUACCAAAUGCAGAAGAGCCAGAUAGGGAUAAGAAACAAAAAAACAGUUUGGAUGACUUCAGGGUUCCAGCAGAAGGGCUAUCUGCUGUAGCAGCUAAUCAUUCAGAUGGUGCACCCACGCAAGACAAGGAGGAUGGAUUUAACAAUAUUCAGGAUUUGGAGGGUUCACUUGCGUCAUUUCCUAUCAAACCUCUUCAAGCACUCAAAGGUUGUUUUGAUAUGUGUGAGGAUGACAUUAAUAACAGCAGUCCAAGAGAGUCUGAUCAUGAUUAUGGGAGAAUUGACAAUGAAUGUUCUGGGCCAAGUACUUCAUUAUCACAAAAUGCUACCACUCAGCAAAAAAAGUUUUCUAGUGGUUCUUUGCUACCUGAUAAUUUUCUUCUUCCCAAAAAAGUUGUUACUGAUGGAGACAGGUAUUAUCUACAAUCUAAAUAUUCUUCAGAGAGGAAUCAUAGUGGUCCAUUGCAAUAUCGGCAGAAGAGAGAUACCUACAACCUUCCUUCAGUUGAUGACACAUCUGAAGGAGCAUUUGUCCAGCGUAGGGGGCGGUUUAAGGUCACACCCGCAGAUAUCAGUCAAAUGGGUCCUUCAAACAGCAAUUCUGGCCCUGUUGUUAGUCCUACCAGUCCACCAAAUCAGAAUUUCAAGGCUGCCUCUAUUCUUCCAUCACUGCAGUGCAUCUUGCAACAGAAUGGUUUGCAGAGGGAAGAAAUUAUUAAGUUAAUAAAGUAUGCAGAGCAAUCUUGUGGCAAGAAUACAGAAUCAGCUGAGGCAGGGGCAAUUGAUAUUUUGCAGGAACUAAAUUUACUGUGGAAUUGAUAGAGAAGAGAACUGAGCUCUGAUUACAAGGAAGAUAUGCAGAAAGUAUAGAAACUGGGGAAUGAAAGGAAACAAAUCAACGAAGGAAAACUUCUCUGCCUUGUAGCAACCGCCACUCCAAAACUAUCCUAAUGAUUCCCUAUCCUCCUCACUACUGUCUCAUCAUCUCAUAUUUGUGUCCUCACUUGGAUUUGACACCUGCCCAUAUCCAGUUAGAAUUUGACAUAACAUACUCCUGGCUGUAUUUCCCACGUCAUUUCCCGAUUUUAACCCCCCCCCCCUCCCCUCCCCUGUGGUUGUAUUACCCCUUUGGUAACAUAAAAAAAUAUUGAAGGAAUUACCAAAAUGGGUAUAAAUAUAACAUAAUAGUAGAAAAAAUAGAUGGGUGAAAAUUGUGAAAACCCAACUCAUGUUUGCACACUAGCCACCCAAAAGUGACUUUCCUGUUGAUGUGGGAGAAUGGUAAUUUUGGCAACGUCAUCUUACAUUGUGUAGUGCUGGAAGUCUUAGCACCAAAUGUGUUGCCAAAUUGCCAACUGCAGUACCUAAAUGUAAACGGAGGUUCAGACUCUUCAAACAACAAUCCAAAUAGGCACUAAAACAGGGAAAAAAUGGGCCUUUUUUAAUACAUGGAUGGGAGGAGGGGGUUAAGAAGUAUUUUGCUUGAUUACACGUACAGGAAAUUGCUACUUUGUUGUUUUGUAAAAUGGCCUCAUUUGUGCAACUUGCAGGCACCGCCUGUGACAACUAGGGAGAGAGAGCUGCAAUUUCAGGUGAUUCAACUCCAACAGAGCAUUGGGAGCCUUGUUGAGGAGUUGCAAAGACAAAAGACGAAAAAUGUUCAGUUGGAGAAACAGUUGAGCAGUAUGGUUAACAAAGUUGAAAAGUAAACAAGAUACGAACGUUAUCAUGGUUCGACUGAUAUUGAGCUACACCUAACGUUCAGUUAUAACAUUCGAUGAUGGUUUGAGACAUACUUGAGGGAUGGGGGCACGUCUCAGUUGUAUUACCAUGUGUGAACUUUUGUUUGCGGCAGACACUAAUUUUUGAGAUGCUAUUCCUUGAGUCACCUGUAAAAUGUAAUUUAUUGAUGAGAUAAUGAGAUCAUGUAAUUUAAACCCCUCUUUGUCUCUCAUAUCCUACCCAAAAAUUACCCUUCAGAAUUCAGAUUAAUGCAUAUAUAAUAACUACAUAGUUCAUUGAUGUAGCAAUCUGUCUUUUGUAUUUCAAUAAAUUCAGAUCACCUUACAACUGAAUCCUUUCCUUAACACAAGAAGGAAAGUUGGCUUGAUUGGCUGGUUUUGACGUGUAAAAUUCCAAUGGUUUAUGGAAAUUAGCUAUUUUAUAGAUACUGCUGAGUGCUGACAAGACUCCCCCAGUGAAUUGUAUUUCUUAAUGUAGUCCGCAGUUGAAUUGCAUGUAAAUGUAGAGACGCAGUCGAACUGAAUUUUAAUUUUUUUUAAAUUGUGACUCAUUUUCCC